AAGGCCUGAUGUGUGUGAGAUUACCCGCUGAAUUUAAGCAUAUAAGUAAGCGGAGGAAAAGAAACUAACUAGGAUUCCCUUAGUAAUGGCGAAUGAACAGGGAUCAGCUCAGUGCCAAAUCGGAAUCACUUGUGGUUCUGAAAUGUGGCUUGAAGGCAGUACCAGUGGCAUCGCGGACGAAAGUCUCUUGGAAAAGAGCGUCAUAGAGGGUGAGAAUCCCGUGAGUCGUUCGCCGUUUGUCACGUACGGUCUGCGUUCUAACGAGUCGCGUUCCUUGGGAUUGGAGCGUAAACGGGUGGUAAAUUUCAUCCAAAGCAAAAUAUAUACUCGAGACCGAUAGCACAAAAGUACCGUGAGGGAAAGGUGAAAAGAACUUUGAGAAGAGGGUUAAAUAGUGCCUGAAAUCGUUGAGAAAGGAAGCGGAUGCCGCCGUUGCAUAUGCUGAUUGUAGGAUUGCUGCUCGCUCCUGUCUUCUGCUACUCAUUCACAGACCUGGUCGUGUUGAGCAGUUGUUUGGCAGAUGUUAGUGGUGUUUCCUACUCUCAGUCGUCAGCAUCACUGGCUGA
rnacentral:ncRNA from 1 species